rnacentral:lncRNA from 1 species
GUUCUAGAUUUUGGCCUUUGCUUUUACCUCAUUUGUAUACAUGAUAAAGCCAUGAGGCUUUUAGCAAAAGGUAUCAAACCAUUUUUAACCUUGAAAAAAAAUACCGGAAGUGACCUUGUGUAAACCGAAAGUAGCUAUUUUUUGUAGAACCAGAUAUUUUUGGAAUCAGUGUCAAUUAAAUAUUCAAAUAUUAUUGGAAGUAACAUUUUUCAAACCGGAAGUAACAAAUUAUCUCCCUUAUUUAAAAAAUAUUGUAUAGAAACCAUAUAUUUUUGGAAUCAGCGUACAAUAAGCUAUCAUUUGACGAUUGAAAUGACAUUUUAAACUUAAUUUCACAACUUUCAUAUUAAAAUACAUUUUUUUGGUGGAAACACCUACAAUCUCUGAACAAUUGUUUUUUAAUUAUUAUUAUUAAGUCUUUCCACUUUUCUGUGGAAAGACUUAUUGUUUUUCUUCUGAUUAUUAUUAUUUUUUUCUUUUUUUUUUUUUUUCUUCUGCCAAAUUUUGUUCUUGCGAUAAAUGUUUGUUUCGCAAUAUGUCGCUUAAAUAUUUCACCUAUUGUAUUGUAGUUUAUGCGCUUUUAAAUUUCACCCUGUUAAGCCGAACCAUUUUCUUUGUAAGAGUUAUACCCUAUUCACUGUUUAUCAUCAGAAAGCAUCUCCUUCGUAACAAAAAAAGAUAUCAACAAAAUUCUUUUCACAAAUUGUUCGUUACAUCCUCAGGAAUUUUUAGCUAAUUUGGAUCGAAGCGAUUCGAUGAAAUUUUAUAGGAGUUAUCUACCUUUACCAAAUAAAUUUGUCGGUAUGUUUUUUUAACUCAUAAACCAUUAACCGUAUAACCCUGGAUUGUUUUUAUUUGAGACCCCUAGGUGGUCCGAGACCACAAUUGUCGUCCCUUGAUUUUCGUUGUUCACGAAUAUAGUCCCUAGUGUUGACAGUGGGUUACUUGCCAUUAAUUUUUAUACCCCUUCCAAAUUUAUUUCUCCAUGUUUAAUGCCUCAAAUUGAAAGUACGGGGGUGAAAUUACACUGUAAAAAAAUUUGUGUCCAGAAUUUUAAAGGAAAGUAGUGAUUUGGUCCAGCUGAAAAAGGUUGAAAAUUAGCACUUUGGAAGCUGUCAAAAGAUUUCAAGACGCCCUAAACAUAAAAUUGUCCAUAUUUUGAGUUAGAGCCGAUGAAGUUUUCUAUAAUUUUGAUAUAAUUUGUCCCAAAAGUAGUACAACACACUGUAAAAGUUUCUUUGAGAAAGCGCAGGUGGGAUUUUUUUAAUUUUCAUUUAUGUUCUAAAAGAAAUGCACUACGAAAUAAUUGUGUUCUCGGACCAGGUACUAACUUAGAAAAUGAGGUCAAGAUCAAAGGUCAAGGUCAAGUUCUCAAUGUAGACUUUUCCUUGUUUUGGUUUUUUCUCCGAUAUCUUUAAAGAUAUAUAUAAUAGAACAAGUGCAAAAUGUUUGCUUAGUUGUAAUGAAGAUAUGCUACAUUUAGUAUUAUACAAUUAAAUGGCAUCUUAUAGGAGUUGGUGCCCCUGAAAUGUCUUGAUAUGAGGUUAUUUGAUUAUAACUUCAACUAAGUUCAUUAUAAAGGGAUUUGACCUUAUACAAAAGGUAAGGUGACAAAUGACCUUGAAAAAUGACUACCGGAUAUGACCUUGAGAAAACCAGAAGUAGCCAUUUUGCUAUUUUUUCAUAUAAAAGUACUCAGAAUCCAUAUAUUAUGUCAUAUAGAUACAUAAACUGAUAACUGAAGACUAAAAAUGUUUUCCAACAAACAGGAAGUGGCGAAUUAUCUCCCAUUCUACAUACAAAAGUAUAUAGAAACUAUAUAUUUUUGGAAUCAGUGUGAAAGAAGCUAUCAUAUGAGACCAGAAGUGACAUUAAUUUCACUAGAAGCAUUAUAUUAUCUCCCUUAUAUCACUCAAAAAUAAUUUAACCAUUAUUUAUCGCAUCAGUAUGAAGAAAGUAUCUUCUUAUCAAAAUUUCUUUCAUGUGGAAAGACUUGGUUUUUAAUUAUUAAGUCUUUCCACUUUUCUGUGGAAAGACUUAUUGUUUUUCUUCUGAUUAUUAGGUCUUUCCACCUUUCCGUGGAAAGACCUAUAGGAUUUCUUCUGAUUAUUUUUUUUUUUUUUUUUUUUCCGCCUAAUUUUUUUCUUGCGGUGUAAAAAUGUUUCAGUAGAUGUCGCUUAGUUUUUUGUAUAUGAUAUCAUACAGUCUAUACGCUUUUGAAACUGACCCUGUUUAACCGAACACUUUUCUUUGUAAGAGUUAUCUCCCCAAACACUGUUUAUCUUGUUAUCAAAUCUCCUCCACAACCUUAAAAGAAAGCGACAAAUUUAUUUUUCAAAAUUGCUCUUUAUAUCCUCAGGAUGUUAAGUUUUAUUUUGACCGAAGUUUUAGGAAGACUCCAUAUGAGAGUUAUUUCCCCUUUUGUAUUGAAAUAAAUGAAAUAAAUUUGUAACUGGAAAACCAUAAGUGAUAGAGGCCUAGGGUCUUUUAAUUUGAUGUUCAAGUCAUGUCCAAAUUUAUUUUGGCUUGUUAUCUCUUUAAAUAUUUUCAGAAAUCAUACAAGAUAUCGACAAAAUAUUUUCAGACAAUUGUUAGUUGCGACAUGUCAUAACACGUAAAUUUUACUUAAAAAGGUAUGUAACAUUUAAUGCAAGUUUUCCCCCCUUUGAUAUCUAAUAUUAGUUGUAUGG